rnacentral:rRNA from 1 species
GAGCACUGUUUGGACGAGGGGCCCCUCUCGGGUUACCGAAUUCAGACAAACUCCGAAUGCCAAUUAAUUUAACUUGGGAGUCAGAACAUGGGUGAUAAGGUCCGUGUUCGAAAGGGAAACAGCCCAGACCACCAGCUAAGGUCCCAAAAUAUAUGUUAAGUGGAAAAGGAUGUGGCGUUGCCCAGACAACUAGGAUGUUGGCUUAGAAGCAGCCAUCAUUUAAAGAGUGCGUAAUAGCUCACUAGUCGAGUGACACUGCGCCGAAAAUGUACCGGGGCUAAACAUAUUACCGAAGCUGUGGAUUGUCCUUUGGACAAUGGUAGGAGAGCGUUCUAAGGGCGUUGAAGCAUGAUCGUAAGGACAUGUGGAGCGCUUAGAAGUGAGAAUGCCGGUGUGAGUAGCGAAAGACGGGUGAGAAUCCCGUCCACCGAUUGACUAAGGUUUCCAGAGGAAGGCUCGUCCGCUCUGGGUUAGUCGGGUCCUAAGCUGAGGCCGACAGGCGUAGGCGAUGGAUAACAGGUUGAUAUUCCUGUACCACCUAUA